UGAACCCAGCCAUGAUCACAUGACUGCACCUUGCGACCCAGCAGCUCAAGGUCCUUCCAGGGAAAGGCCAACCACUCCUCAUUUUACUGUGGUAGCCAGUACCUCUGCUGCUACCUUGUUGGCAACUCCCACGAGGGGUAAGCAAUAGUUGCUUUGUCAGACUGUUUUGUGGUUGAUUUGAGUUCA